rnacentral:tRNA from 1 species
UAUUAUAUAGUAUAGAUAUUGUAUAUAAAUCUUAUAGAUAUUAAUUAUUCAUUAAUCAUUGAUCAAGUAAUCAAUAGUUAAUAAUAUUAAGAAUAUAAUAUGUAGACAUUUAGUCUAGUCUAUUAAUUAUUAAUUAUUUUGUAAUUUGUUGUUAAUUUGUUGAUAUUUUAUUGAUUUUGUUGACAUUUUGUUGACAUGUUGAUAUGUUAUAAAAUAUAAUUUAAUAUUAUUUUAUAUAAUUAUUAUUA